rnacentral:lncRNA from 1 species
GAGAGCUCCCGCCGCGGCCCCGCGGGCGCCGGCCCCCUGGCCUCCACACCCCUAGCAGCAUUCCUGCCUGCUGAGUUUCCUGGAUUUGCUGAGCUAAACAAGUUCAUUCGCACCCAGUUCCACCUGGGAUGAAGAUCCAUCUACAGGGCUGGAACUGACAGGGAAAACUUUUCAUCCCAUCUGAGGUCACCUUCACUUACAGGAUGCUGGCUGCUGAUAAGUAUCCUAUCAGGAGAAGAAGAGAAAAAUAAUUUGACACUUAUAGCCUGUCUUGAAAGAUGAGAUUCACUUAUCAGCAAACCAGAUGAAGAGAAUCACUGAGCACAGAAAUGAGAUCUGAGCACACUAGAGCUCAACUAAUGUAUCCCUGCCCACACAGGGUUAGUCUCUACAAAUUGCCUAUUUCAGUUAUUUAGCCCCAUUUUUUUCCCAGAGAUGGUGUGUUUCGUAUAAUCAAUAGCUACAAAAUAAAAGCAGCAUCUGCCUUGCCUUCUUUUCCCGUUAUUUGGCUGUGGCCUCCUAACAAUGAGACAAACAGAGAAGAGAGAAGUAAACAAGAAAUCAAAGAGAUCUAGGGGAGAUAGCUAAUGUGGGGGUGAGGAGAGAAGCAAAUACCGGGUUCACAACAGGUUGAAUCAUUGCCAAGGAACCCAGAUUGACAAGUAUGAUAUACUGUUGAGAUUCUCAGUGGCAACCGUUGCCAGUUUUGCAAAAGAGCAGUGUUAUUGGAGCCGGAUUUGGAAAGCAGAUUUUGUGAAAAGUCUAGGAUACUGCUGUCUCCCAGGACUUGGUUCUAAUUUUGUCUUUGGGCUGUCCUCAAUGCUCCCACCUCUCACGCAUGUGUUCUAUUUGGGGGCUUAUUGUGGAGGAAGCCAGCUAAUGCUACAUCCAGAAAGAGGGAGAAAAAAAGUCCAAAUAUAUAUUUUUCUUUAUUGAAAUAGAAAAACAAACUCAAAAUUAUCUGCAUUUUAUGUUUCCAGCCAUCCUUAGUCACAGACAGAGCUCAGCAAUAUGCUCACCUUGGCCCACUGAGAGCAGAUAUUUCACAGACAAUUUUUUGCUCACCUGUAAAAGUUCGUCUCUCCCCAGCUGAGUAUUGGUUCCCCACCCUUCUCCUUCUUCAGACUCUACUCUAAUCCCCAUGCAUUCCCAGGCUUCCUGGGGCUGAUGUGGGAAGACAAAGGAGGAACCCAGGACCCUAAGAAAAGGCAGCCUUCUGAUACCCACUGCUAUGGGAUCAUUAUAGGAGGGCCAGUACUUGGUGGGUAGUUGUGAGAUGCAGCAUAACUGUGUUCUCUGCAGGCAGGGCUUCUCCCUCAGGCUUGAGUUGUAUUUUCCAUGAACUUGUGCUGGGCCUUCCAGUGCCCAGCUCUUAGUCUUAGAAACUCCUUUGCUGCUAAGACCUUUCAGAGUGAGGCCUGAGGUAAGAGCAAAGCUGAAGGAGAUCAGGUGGCAGGCCUGCUCCAGUCCUGGUCUGGUCCUGGGGAUGAGCAUGUUGUGCAGGAUGGUAGGUUGGUUCUCCCCAUCUCGAGCCUUUGGGUGCUCUGGUUUGUUUGGCAUAUGGGUAUGCACUGGGUUGGUCCCUAGGAUCCUCUGCCUGCCUUUUAGAAUGUAUGAAGUGGUCCUGGUUCCACCCUAAUGUGAAAGAAGAUCUUGCCAUCGUAUAGGCAAGAGCAGUGGGUCCCAACACAAGGCCUAAUGAUGGCCAUCAUAAGAUGAUCAGACCAUCUUUUUGUUAUUUGAGUUACAAUAACAAAGUAGAUCGAAGAUAGGUCCACUCUGUAGAACUAAAGUCAUAUGCAUUGCUUUUCUCUACUUGCCGAAUUGCUGUCUAGCACCCCCUUUUCUCUCUGAACUCCUCAUCUUUUCAAGGGCAUAAGGACUCCUAUUCUGAUUAGGACAAAAUGCAGGAAUUUGUUUUGAAUUUUCUCUUCAUUUCGGGUGCUGUGAGCACUUGGGCUUGGAGUUGGAGUGGUAGCUGGGUAUUAGGCCUUGACUGGGCUUUCCUCAUUUUCAGCAGAGCCCAGCUGGCUUUGGCCCGGUUUGGAGAUUCUCCAACCAAGUCCCACCCUCAGAGAGGUUGCCAUACUCUCGCCAUUAGAGAAGCCAGCGGGGAGUUACAGCCACAGCAGCUUUUGCAGAAUCCCUAGGAGACCUACAGGGACAAAGCAGAGUAAAGGAAAAGGUCCUGGAGAGGUGAGAUUUUCUCCAUUUUCAACAAGAGUUUUAGACGACAUUUUCCAAAAGUUGCUACAGCUCAUACAACUGCUUUGCAAAUUCAACAUUUGAGUUUGGCCCACUGAAAAAAAAGUUCACUUACUACUACUACUUUCUGUCUAUGUUGUGUUUCAGGCUUAGAGCCAGGCUUAGAGUUGUGAUGAAAAGGAAAGCUCUGACUAAAAUAAUAUUUCUUGUCAUAGUAGUUAUUUUGUUUCAUAAGUAUUGACAUGUAGGUUGUUACUGCAUUUUACAGAUGAGGAAACUGAGCCUUAGGACUCAGAAAUAUUGUGAGGAACACAGUAAGAACAAGACACGUUAGGCGUUAUUAUCCUAGGUUUAACCUGUUGCUAUUUGAGAAUGGCAUAGAGAGAAACAAAAGCUAUUACUUAGAGAAAGCUGGCUACUCUCUUAGACCAGCUUUGAAGGAUAAGGACCCUGGUUAGGCCAUCACAGUCUAGGUCCAUAGUUCUCAGUCUUUGGCUUACAUCAGAAUCAGCUGUGGAGCUUUAAAAAAUAGAGAUUCCUAGGUCUUAUCCCAUACCUCCCAAAUUAGAAUCUCCAGGGACAGGUCUUGGAAGUCAACAUUAAAAAAAAAUAAUGAAAAAACAAAAUAUCCUUGGUUGAGUGAUACUGUUGGGCAGCAAGUUUGGAAACGAUCUAAGGUUUUACCUCUAAUUUUGGUCCAGAAAAUUCCUUGCCAGAGGUAAUAAGUCUUCUGGAGAUGGACUCACAUUAACACAAUUAUGACAUGUGACUGAUACAUGGAUUAGAGUGACAACUGACAGUGAGAACUACCUUGUUGUUAGCCUAACAAGACCAUCGGGCUCUUGUUGGUAGAAGGUUAUGCUUUUCCCCGAGGCUGCAUGUAGCCAGGUGAGCAGAGACCAAAGGUGGAGAAAGUGGAUGAUCAUGAGAGGCAGGACCAUCAAACAUGGUGACCCUGAGGCAUUCAUCUUCCUCAGAAGGUUCCUGCUGUACAAACAGAAUACUCGUGUUCAUGGGCUCAGAUGCAUCACCAGAUUUUAUCUUUGACCAUCCUGUUUACAGGUGCCUUAUCCCCCAUCCCCAUUCUGAAAAUAAUUAUUUUUAUUAGAUACAAAAUACCGUAUAGUUGAUUAGAUUUGCUCUUUUCUAGUUAAAGAUCACAGCCUAAAUGCUCAUAGUUAGCAAGAGUUUUAGAUAAACAGGCACUCAUACUUGACUUGUUACUGGGAAAUUAGCACAAUCUUUUGAUAUGAAGUAUUGGUAGCUACAGGGAUAAUUUUUGGCACUAUUAACAAUACUGAAAAGUUGGAAGCAACCUUUAUGUCCAAGAAUAGAAGUAGAUAAAUUCAUUAUUGUAUAUGCACACACAAAACGGGCUGAUAUAUAGUCAUGGUUUAGAAUAAAAUGUAAUUAAAUGGAA